rnacentral:lncRNA from 10 species
GGGCUGAGAUGGGAGCCUGGGAGGUUGAGGCUGCAGUGAACCUUGAUCAUGCCGCUGUACUCCAGCCUAAGUGACAAAGUGAGACCCUGUCUCAAAAAAAAAAAAAAAAGUGAGCAUUAUUUUUAUAAUUAGUGGGGACAAGCAUUCAACUGAAAUGAGCUAAUACUCAGGAAAAUGUGGGUAGGCUAGUCUGAACUUGGGGUAGGAGAGAAGAUA